rnacentral:rRNA from 1 species
AAGGAGUGGUAAUACCGCAUGAGACCUUCGGCUGGGAUGCUGGAGGUGAAACCUGGGGACCGCAAGGCCUGGGGCAAGGAGAGGAUCCUGCGUCUGAUUAGCUAGUUGGCGGGGUAAUGGCCCACCAAGGCGACGAUCAGUAGCCGGCCUGAGAGGGUGAUCGGCCACACUGGAACUGAGACACGGUCCAGACUCCUACGGGAGGCAGCAGUGGGGAAUUUUGCGCAAUGGACGA